AGCAGACGAAGGUUCUAGAGGUCACAACGUUUGAUUGUGACCACCUUUAUUUCCUGUUUUUACGUGAUUACCCCACUCCGAAGCAUUCAAUCCGACUCAUUGCAUUCCAGAGUAACUUACUAGAGCGUCGAGUAUAAAUAACCCCUCAUCCAGAAGAGUACUCUGUUCACCUUUCUGAUUACUGCAAUGGUGAAUUCCUUCAUCCUCUUCGCAGACUUGAAAGCAUGUCGUUGCUCUAACACGGCGGAGGUCCGUUUACUGAGAUUAUGGGAGGCAAGUGUUGACAGCUUCUUCUCGAUGAACAGUGUUACGCUUAUCCAUGGGACCAUCAACUCAAGCGGCGUCGAUAAUUUCCGGAACCGUCUCAGUGGUUUCGACUUCACAUGAAGUAACAAUAAAUUCCGACUCUCACCUCUGAAAACUCCAUCCGCUUCAGUGAUGGAAUGUCCUUUGAAGCAGAAAAUGACUCUGAUAAGGUUAUUCCAGUACGUAUCAUUAACACUCCUCUUAAUGAGCAAGUAUCUACUUUUUGUCUUAUUGGAUUCAGGGCAUUAUUGAAUGGUACUGGUCUAGCAGCAAUGUUGUGUUCUUGGAUGCUUUAGAUUUAUGUUUCUGUCAACUGAAUUUGACAUCCUGGUGUUUGAUCUUAACAUGGAAAUCGAGAAAAUUUAGAAAUUAAGAUCACAUAUUACAUAUACCCUGCUUUUGAUCAGGACAUUGGAAGCUUGAUCGUUGCUACUAAAACUUCUUUAGAGUUUUCACCAUCAACGAUUUGAUGCUUUUGGGGUUGACUCUGUUUUUCAUACUUUGUCUCUUCUUUCGACUGUGUUUUGUAAACUCAUGAUUGUUCAUUCUUCCAUGACACUGUGUUUUGUAAACUCAGAGAAUUAGAGAAUUAGCUAGCCACAUUUUCUGAGAUACUCUCCUCCAAUCUCAAAGAAGAAGAGAAUCUUUUUGGGUUGGAGAUAAGAAGAGACUAAAAGAGACAAAAAUCAUGAACAUGGCUAUAAACGUGUAUCAUUCAGUCUUAAAAAUAUUUUCUUCUUUUUGACCUUUUCUAUAGAUUU